rnacentral:sRNA from 1 species
UUGAAAAGUGAUAGUAAGAAAGUAAGAAAAUUUUCGGAAAUAAAAAAAAUAAUAAUUAUUCUUUGUGUGAAUUUUCAAAUAUUUUAUACAAAUUUCGGAAAAGAAGAAAAUUCGCAAUUUCGUGGAAAAAGCAAGAGGAUAAGAAUUUUGGCUGCCGAUUCUGUGGAGAAUCGGCACAUUCUACAUCCAUCGUAACGUCUUUGAUUUUCAAAGGACUUUGUGCUACUGAUUUUGUACGGCCGUUGGAAUUUUUAAAGGAUUAUUUCAUCCAUCAAUUAAGAAGUCAUUAAAAACAACACACGGAUUUGUCAAUUUUUAAUUCUGACCCGGAUUUGAGCAAUUUUUAUAAAAAAAAAGGAAUUAUCGUUUAGUGUCCCGCUAAAGCGGAGAUUCCAUUUAUAAUGGCGAUUUCUUAGGGAGAACAUUCAUGAAAACUUUUGGCCAAAAAUGAUGUUCUCCAAGAAUUAAACGGAAUUUUGUAACCAUACUUACAUGAUGACCAUAAAAAAGACAAACCUCUAAUUCUUAUUUACGUCGUAAAAUAAUUUUUUUUUCUUUGAAAAUCAAGACACUUUAUUUUAACCAGGCGUUUUGCAAACUUGAAUUAUAAGUUAAUAAUUACAGCCGCAGUUUAAUGUAUAAUUCCCAGUCAUCAGGCCUGCUGACGUCGUUGGAAUAACGGUGAAAGAAGCCUGUAUGAUCUUACUACAGACAAUUGCCGGCAGUUUUGAUAUGGACAAGUUUGAGAGAACUCUUUUGACUAAAUUCCCCCAAAUUGUCAGCUAUCAUGAUCUUCAUAUAUGGCAACUAUCUUCACACAGUUACAUCGCUACAAUACACAUAAUUUUUAAAAGUCAUAAAUUCUAUGAGAAGACUAUUGAAAAUUUGCGGUCUUAUUUUCAUGAUCAUAGAAUAGCCUAUAUUACCAUACAGCCCUAAUACAAUGUCAGAAUCUUGGUUGCGCAGAUAAAGUAUGUGGCCUAGAUUCACUACCCGAUUCACGUGAGAUUAGUGCAACCCCAAAUCGUGAUACGGCCCAAGGCAAAAAAUCUAAAAAGUGUCAUCACCAUUGCGAUGGUCAUGGACUCGGGCAUGGCCAUGCUCAUGGUCAUGGCCAUAAACAUAAACAUCAAUGUCAUAAACAUGGUAAGCAAGGAAAAUGCAAAAAAUCCUCAAACGAUAUCAGCUAUACAGAUGUUACCAAUAAACCAAAAACGGAAAUGCCCGAAGAAACAGAACCAACGACUCAACAAAGGGCAACAGCAAACGUGAAAGUUCCUAUAGAUGAUAUAAGAGAGUUUAAAGCAGAAAUAAAACUAGAAGGGGGAACCAGAAUGAGAAUGCAGAGGAACCUGCAAAUGGCAAAAAAUCAUUACAAAAUCCAAAUACUAGAACUAAGACUGAAGCUUCCAUUAAUAGUGAUGCCAUAAAGGCCAGUGAAACUACAGAUUUAUCCAGAACUUACUGCAAUGGAGACAAUGAAUUCGAAGCUAGUUGUACAAAAUGAUGAUAACUGGAAAGCACACACACGCAUUCAAAUACUCGGUGGAAUUUAACGUUUGAUAUAGAAUUUCACCGUAGUUGUAACUCCAUAACAGGGAUUUUUUAGUUUUUCCAUAAAAAGAAUUUUAAUAUUAUGCUUCUUUUACACACAUACACAUUUACAAGGACAUACCAUAUAAAAUAGAUUUAGUAAUAAAUAGAAAAAUAAUCA